GACGAACGCUGGCGGCGUGCUUGACACAUGCAAGUCGAACGGAAAGGCCUGCUUUCCCUUGUGGAUUGCGGGUACUCGAGUGGCGAACGGGUGAGUAACACGUGAGUGAUCUGCCCCCAACUUGGGUAUAAGCCUGGGAAACUGGGUCUAAUUCCCGAUAGGACUGCAGGGUGGUGCCUGUGGUGGAAAACGAUUUUCUAGUGGUUGGGGAUGAGCUCGCGGCCUAUCAGCUUGUUGGUGGGGUAAUGGCCUACCAAGGCGGCGACGGGUAGCCGGCCUGAGAGGGUGGACGGCCACAUUGGGACUGGGAUACGGCCCAGACUCCUACGGGAGGCAGCAGUGGGGAAUAUUGCACAAUGGGCGGAAGCCUGAUGCAGCGACGCCGCGUGGGGGAUGACGGCCUUCGGGUUGUAAACUCCUUUCGACCGCGAGGAAGCCACCUGGUUGGAAGGGUGGUGACGGUAGUGGUAGAAGAAGCACCGGCUAACUACGUG
rnacentral:rRNA from 1 species